CGUAGGGGACAAACGUUAUCCGGAUUUACUGGGCGUAAAGCGCCCGUAGGCGGCUUUUUAAGUUGGACGUGAAAGCUCCCGGCUUAACUGGGAGAGGCCGUUCAAAACUGAGAAGCUCGAGUGAGGAAGAGGAGAGCAGAAUUCCCGGUGUAGUGGUGGAAUGCGUAGAGAUCGGGAGGAAUACCAGUGGCGAAAGCGGCUCUCUGGUCCUAAACUGACGCUGAGGGGCGAAAGCGUGGGGAGCGAACGGGAUUAGAUACCCCGGUAGUCCACGCCGUAAACGAUGGAGACUAGGUGUAGGUGGAUAGAACCCCAUCUGUGCCGAAGCCAACGCGUUAAGUCUCCCGCCUGGGGAGUACGGCCGCAAGGUUA
rnacentral:rRNA from 1 species